GUAGGGUGCGAGCGUUGUCCGGAAUUAUUGGGCGUAAAGGGCUCGUAGGCGGUCUGUCGCGUCGGGAGUGAAAACUCAGGGCUUAACCCUGAGCCUGCUUCCGAUACGGGCAGACUAGAGGUAUGCAGGGGAGAACGGAAUUCCUGGUGUAGCGGUGAAAUGCGCAGAUAUCAGGAGGAACACCAGUGGCGAAGGCGGUUCUCUGGGCAUUACCUGACGCUGAGGAGCGAAAGUGUGGGGAGCGAACAGGAUUAGAUACCCUGGUAGUCCACACCGUAAACGUUGGGCGCUAGGUGUGGGACUCAUUCCACGAGUUCCGUGCCGCAGCUAACGCAUUAAGCGCCCCGCCUGGGGAGUACGGCCGCAAGGCUA
rnacentral:rRNA from 1 species